UACAGAGGGGGCAAGCGUUAUUCGGAAUUAUUGGGCGUAAAGGGCGCGUAGGCGGCUUGGCAAGUGGAUGGUGAAAUCCCUCGGCUUAACCGAGGAACUGCCGUCCAAACUGCUUCGCUUGAGACCGGGAGAGGUGAGUGGAAUUCCCGGUGUAGCGGUAAUAUGCGUAGAUAUCGGGAGGAACACCAGUGGCGAAGGCGGCUGUCUGGGGUCUUGCUGACGCUGAGGCACGAAAGCCAGGGGAGCGAACGGG
rnacentral:rRNA from 1 species